GACAGAGGUGCCGAGCGUUAGGCGGAAUCACUGGGCUUAAAGCGUGUGUAGGCGGGUCCGUAAGUACCUUGUGAAAUCCCAUGGCUCAACCAUGGAACUGCUUGGUAUACUGCGGAUCUUGAGCCACCUAGGGGCAAGUGGAACAAACGGUGGAGCGGUGAAAUGCGUAGAUAUCGUUUGGAACGCCAAUGGUGAAAACGGCUCGCUGGGGCUGCGCUGACGCUGAGACACGAAAGCCAGGGGAGCGAACGGG
rnacentral:rRNA from 1 species